GGGGUUUAUGCAAAACGCGGCGGAUUCCGCGGCUCCCAUUGGUCAGCGGGCGGGGUGGGCGUGGCUAAAGGGGAGGGAGAGUGGGCGUGGCUUCCGCGGGAGGGGCAUGGCCCCGCGGGUUUCAUUGGUCGGUGGGCGGGGUGGCGCCGGAAGUGGGCGGGGCCAGAGGCGGAAGCGGAAGCGGGGGCGCGGCCAUGGAGGAGGCGGCGGGAGGGAGGGUGCUGCUGGCCCUGCCCGCGGCUGUUCCGGGGCCCCUCCCCCCGCGGCUGCACGGAGAGCUGCGCCUGCGGGCGCCGCCCCAGGACCUGGUGCUGGAAUGGGAACCCCUGGAGGGGAACUGGGAACCCCCCGAGGAGACGGUGAGACCCCAAAACAUCCCAAAAUAACCCCAAAAAAACCCCAAAAAUCCC
rnacentral:lncRNA from 1 species